UGCACAGGAAGAGAGCCCAGGUGUCCGAGAUAGGCGAGGCCAGGUCUGAGAUCCCUGCAGCUGCCUCUGCCACACCACCCAUGGAGAUACGGGGCUCGCCGGCAGGAAUCACAUAAUCCACGCUAAACACUUCAGAGUAAAGUAAAAUUCCAUAAGGUGCUUUUAAUCCUCAGAGAGAAAAUGACUCAUUUUAGCUUCUAACGUGGUGACAGCAUCUUCGAUGACAGUGAGGACACAUCUGCCUCCAGCUGCUGCUCCCACAGAAACCUAGGAAAGAGAGAAAGGAAGGGCAAGAGAGGAUGUGAAGGAAGAGGGUGUGCGUGAGCACACAUCAGGGGAGCUGAAGCAACUUCUGCACCGGGAGUGAGGCACGCAAGCCUGACUCCAGGUGUUAUGAAGACCAGCAAGGUGAAGGCCUUAGGCCUAUCUCAUGCUCAUAAAGGCCAUUGUGAGGAGAUGUCCCCUGAAGAAGAUGAAGUCUAGAGGCAGGCCUUCUCCCCCACUCACUGGCCAGCACAGAAGUUCUCCCUCCUUUCACAUGCAGAACCUGACCCUCGCCAUCUCAACAGACAAAACCCAACACACGCCAUGACACUGUGACCUGUAGUAAGUAUGUACUCUGGUCUUGGCCCCAGUUGCUGCGCAGAGCUCCCCAAACCCUUGUAAUUCCCUGAGCAAGAGAAC